UUGGAGGGCAAGUCUGGUGCCAGCAGCCGCGGUAAUUCCAGCUCCAAUAGCGUAUAUUAAAGUUGUUGCAGUUAAAAAGCUCGUAGUUGAAUUUCGAGACCGGUUUAUUGAUCGUGCUUUUGUACGUACUGGUAUUAUUGGUUUCUCCUUUCUGACGAAUCUUAAUGCCAUUAAUUUGGUGUUUUGGGGAAUCAGGACUGUUACUUUGAAAAAAUUAGAGUGUUUAAAGCAGGCUCACGCUUGAAUACAUUAGCAUGGAAUAACGAAAUAGGACGUUUGAUUUUAUUUUGUUGGUUUCUAGGGAUCGACGUAAUGAUUAAUAGGGAUAGUUGGGGGCAUUAGUAUUCAAUUGUCAGAGGUGAAAUUCUUGGAUUUAUUGAAGACUAACUACUGCGAAAGCAUUUGCCAAGGAUGUUUUCAUUAAUCAAGAACGAAAGUUAGGGGAUCAAAAGACGAUCAGAUACCGUCGUAGUCUUAACCAUAAACUAUGCCGACUAGGGAUCGGAUGAUGUUAAUUUUUUAAUGACUCAUUCGGCGCCUUACG
rnacentral:rRNA from 1 species